AUCCAGCUGACGAGUCCCACAAUAGGACGAAACGCGCGUCAAACUGGAU
rnacentral:hammerhead_ribozyme from 1 species